ACGGAAGGCAGCAGUGGGGAAUAUUGCACAAUGGGCGAAAGCCUGAUGCAGCGACGCCGCGUGAGUGAAGAAGUAUCUCGGUAUGUAAAGCUCUACCAGCAGGGAAGAAAAUGACGGUACCUGACUAAGAAGCCCCGGCUAACUACGUGCCAGCAGCCGCGGUAAUACGUAGGGGGCAAGCGUUAUCCGGAUUUACUGGGUGUAAAGGGAGCGUAGACGGUUUGGCAAGUCUGAAGUGAAAUGCGGGGGCUCAACUCCUGAACUGCUUUGGAAACUGUCGAACUAGAGUGCAGGAGAGGUAAGUGGAAUUCCUAGUGUAGCGGUGAAAUGCGUAGAUAUUAGGAGGAACACCAGUGGCGAAGGCGGCUUACUGGACUGUAACUGACGUUGAGGCUCGAAAGCGUGGGGAGCAAACAGGAUUAGAUACCCUGGUA
rnacentral:rRNA from 1 species